rnacentral:rRNA from 1 species
UACGAAGGGGGCUAGCGUUGCUCGGAAUCACUGGGCGUAAAGGGCGCGUAGGCGGCCUGCUAAGUCGGACGUGAAAUCCCUCGGCUCAACCGGGGAACUGCGUCCGAUACUGGUGGGCUCGAAUCCGGGAGAGGGAUGUGGAAUUCCAGGUGUAGCGGUGAAAUGCGUAGAUAUCUGGAGGAACACCGGUGGCGAAGGCGGCAUCCUGGACCAUAACUGACGCGUGAGGCGCGAAAGCUAGGGGAGCAAACAGG